UGGGGAAUAUUGCACAAUGGGCGCAAGCCUGAUGCAGCAACGCCGCGUGAGGGACGACGGCCUUCGGGUUGUAAACCUCUUUUAGUAGGGAAGAAGCGAAAGUGACGGUACCUGCAGAAAAAGCACCGGCUAACUACGUGCCAGCAGCCGCGGUAAUACGUAGGGUGCGAGCGUUGUCCGGAAUUAUUGGGCGUAAAGAGCUCGUAGGCGGUCUGUCGCGUCUGCUGUGAAAAACCCGAGGCUCAACCUCGGGGCCCUGCAGUGGGUACGGGCAGACUAGAUGCGGUAGGGGAGAAUGGAAUUCCCGGUGUAGCGGUGGAACGCGCAGAUAUCAGGAGGAACACCGAUGGCGAAGGCAGUUCUCUGGGCCGUAACUGACGCUGAGGAGCGAAAGCGUGGGGAGCGAACAGGAUUAGAUACCCUGGUAGUCCACGCCGUAAAACGUUGGGCGCUAGAUGUGGGGGACCAUUCCACGGUUUCCGUGUCGCAGCUAACGCAUUAAGCGCCCCGCCUGGGGAGUACGGCCACAAGGCUAAAAACUCAAAGGAAUUGACGGGGUCAUAGCUGUUUCCUG
rnacentral:rRNA from 1 species